CUGUAAUAACAAGUCUGUGUAGCCGCCUUGAUAGUUAAAAUGGGUAUCGUAGAUAACAAUGUGAUUUACCGUACUGCUGUACUAAUCUCUUCAGUGAUGGUCGUCGCUCAGGGGAGAUAUAUAGACUUGACAUACAACAUCAACUCUGAUGUCAUGAGGUGGCCGAACCACACAAAGUUUACACUCAAAGUUGAUAUAAGAGGACCUUUUGCUGCAUUGAAUUUUUUGGCGUCGAACAGUUUUGAGACAUCAGAACACGUUGCGACGCAUAUUGACGCACCCUUCCACAUUAACCAAAAUGGAAUCAAGAUACACGAAAUGCCAUUCGAUAAUUUCUAUGGACCUGCUGUUGUAAUUGAUAUCAAGGAGAAGUCGUCAAAGGUCCCGGAUGCAACUCUCGAUAUCAGUGAUGUCACUUCCUGGGAAGAGAAAUACAACACCGAAAUCCCCAAGGGCGCUAUUGUAAUAAUGAACUCGGGCUGGGGAAAAUACUGGGGCAACUCAAGUGCCUUUCUAGGUGGGACCACAACCAAUUCCUUGCACUUCCCUGGGUUCAGUGGCGAGGCUGUCACAUGGCUAGUUGAUAACAGAGAUAUCAAGGGCAUAAUCGUAGAUACUAUUAGCUGUGAUCCAGGAAACAGUGCCAUGGGGGAAGCCCAUCUGGCGAUAUUACAAGCCUCCAGUAAAUGGUGCGUUGAAAUGGCCGCAAAUCUCGAUGAAGUACCUGCAAAAGGGGCCAAUGUGUUCGCAAUGCCUAUAAAAAUCGAAGAUGGUACGGGAGCCCCCAUUCGCCUUUAUGCAGAGGUAGGAGCAGGAUGGGGAGUGAAUUCUGGAUGCACUCUCAUAUGGGCAGAGUCGUAUGUAGUCGCUUUGAUCUUGUCCAUGUUUUUAUAUUUGUAAGCAUGUGUAAUAAACUGCACUUUGAAUUUAAGACAAACAGGUGGCCUGAUUUGAUGGAUUGGUCUUAGCAGAUUAGACAUGGCAGCAUAAAAAAUAUUGCUUCGAACUAUACACGAUAACUGAAACGAAUGAAUGUUCCUGAGUUGCACCAGUGGAGAAAGUGGCAUAUAGUCAGGAUCCAUAAAGUAAACAGGCGCGUUAAAGUUUUUAGCCAAAGAUGACAUACGGGGAUUGAUCAUAAAGUUAUCAUAAUAUCGUUCUGUUUUUUCAAAUAUAUUAUAAUGAAAUGUUCACAGAAUGUGCAGCAUACGAUGAUUGAUCAAUCCAUCAGAAAACUGUUAUAUCAGACACAUUUGAUAGGAAAUAGUUGCCAUAAUAACAAACAAUUAAUUUACCCAGGAUGAAUAAAAAAUUAAAAAUAAUGCCCUGAAUAAACCAUGUUUACAUAUCUAAUUACCUUUGACAUAUUAGCUAUAACUUUAUUCAUUUUAUUUAUAAGUUUAUAGGUCUCUUGAACAUCUCAGGUAUAUCGAAAUAUAAGUCCAAAUAAUAUACAUCAAAAUGUUAACGUGUAUGUGUUAUUAACUUUUUUUAACAAUGGCAUAAUUAUAAUGUAAAUAAUGUGAUGACAAAUGGGGUGUCGUCAUACUUCUUUGGAUGAUGAAGUAUCAGACCCCGAUAGUCAAAACUAAUGGUGAAAAAUAUCUGACUGAAAUAGUGCUAUAUAUAUGCAGAGAUCUUUAGAAAAAUAAAGUUACAAAUUAAAAUAAAUGGUAAUGUUA
rnacentral:misc_RNA from 1 species